GAGGUGUGUUGUGUUUUUGUAUGUUCCAAUAUAGAGAGCAGCUCGAUCUGGAUUUGUGCGCGAAAUGGGGAGAAAAGAGUACACGGACUCCUCUCUACCUCCAUACACUCCACUCUGCUAACGUGCUAUGCAGCUUCUGGGCCUGAAGAUACAGUGCACCACUCUCCAAUCCAAGACAUUUUUUUCACUGUUAAGCAUGAAAUCACUCUCAUAAAACCAAUUCUCUGAUUUAAAAAGAUAUAAGGGUAUGCUUUCCUACUGUAAAUAUUUGAAUAUCUUCUCUAGAGUACCAGUGCUGUCCUUGUACCAUAUUUUCUGGUGAAUCCCAGUAGUUAGUAAUAGUAAUAGUUUAAUGUGCUCGGCUUUUAGAUGAAUGCAGCAAACAGAACUGAGCGUGCUCUUCAAAGACUGGGCAUCCCUCUUUGAUAGAGAAGAGACUUCUAUUGCCUAUGAAGCAGUGCAUUCCUGGAGAGAGCUUGAUAAGCUCAAGAGAUGGAAGUAGAUUUAAGAAUCCACUUUGCAAAUGUUCUGAUUUCCUGAUCACCUCAGUCAAGAGAUAAGGAUUUUUCAAUGGAAAGUGUUUCUUCUACAGACUUUCAAGCAGAAGAGGAGCAUGCUGUAUCAGACUUCUGAAGCUUAAAGGUAAGACAAGAUAGUUUUUAGAUGGUUAUGGUCUUUUCUUUAUGACUAGACAAAUUAAUUAUUGCAUUAUGAGAUUUCCUAAGCUAGCAUGGUAUGUAAGCUAGAUUCAAGGGUGGCUAUGUUAAGAUCAAGUUGCUGCCCUUAUUUUUCUAGUAUAAAGGCUCACUACUUGUUCUGCCAGUUAUAUAAAGCCUGAGUAAACUGACCUUCUAUAAGGAAAUAGUUUGAGGUUCACCUUCCACCUGUGCAGUAGAAAACUUGCACAGGCCUGUAACUGCUGUUAUUCUAAGCUUCUGUACUUUUCUGUGUAAGGCUCUCUCUCAAUAAAACUCAGGAGACUGUCUCCAGCCUUCCCGUAAUCUUACUAUAUGCAAGAUGAAAGGGAUCUUGUAAUAGAUUACUCUCUUUAUGUUUCCUCUUCACACUUUUUUUUCCUUCUCAUCUCAGAGAUAAGCUUUACCUCUAAAGAAAUACAGUUUUAAGAGCUUGGUAAGAACUCUUUCAAUUUAGUUAAAACUGUAUUAUAUUCCAGUAACUUCAUAGUAAUCUGUAACUGUUCUCUUAUUAACAACUGUUCUGGGCUGCACUGCUGAUAAAACAGGAUUAACUUAUUUAAAAAGACUUUACAAAGGCUGAGGAAUCCUCUACAACAACUUUUUUGAAACAAAAUCUUUUUUUAUUAGAUGUUCUUGCUCUCUUCUAACUGUCUUCAGUUAUGGGAAAAACUGGCAUUCAGUUGGUUUCCAUGACAGCAGCCAAAGUAAAACCAGACUGGCUAUUUCAAAGGUCACUUGUUGAAAGACACUGAUCGGGAAAGAUUGAGUUGGCAAUGUGGUUACGGGAGAGUGAAGAACAGAGGACUGCGAGAAGCACUGGUUAUCAUAACCAAGGAGAAAUGCAGUGAGGGAGUACCCUAAGAGCAUAGGAGUUGUCAUAUGUAACAGGAAGAGGCUGUAAAUCUAUGAUGAUUAAAUCAGAGGGGCUAUUAAGUGGUCUCGUAAUGUUAACACUAUUACGAGAAAAUAAGCUCUUGCAAAAGUACUGUAAUCCAAAAAUAAGACAGGACAUAGGAGGUUGACCUGUCUACACAAAUGCAGAGAGUAAGUGAAAACAGUAACAUGAACAAUGUCCUAAGGAGUUUUGCUUGUUCUUCUUAGGAUCUGGCAAGGUUUCAGCUGGGUAUCUAAGAGUCUGCCAAUAACCUUCUGUAAAUAAGUGAAUGUUUGAGUGUAAACAAUAUUCUCCUAUCAUACUGUACUAAGAGCCUGUUGCAGUUCUCUAACUUCUGCUAUUUCAAUGGUAUAGCUACGCAAGGAAAUUCUCCUGGUGGAGAUGCUGGGUAGUGUAAGCGUACCAAUUCCCUGCUUUAAAAAAGCCACAGCAACAAAUAGAUUAGUUGGUUGUCUUAAUCCCAAAAGCUGUUCACAUAUUUUCAUUUGAAGCCCUAAAAUGAACUGUGGCACUUUCUGUCUAGCACUGACAUUCUCAUGCCCCUGAAAACAGUAGCCUGGAUCAUCCUGGAUACAUGAAUCAGCCCUUGGAUUUGUUAGUUACUUACAUGGGAAUUGUUUAUGGAAUUUGAUUCCUUUUAUAGUCUUUCCUUUCAAACCAGGAGCUGUAAAGGAACUGGGAGCUAAUGACACCCACAUGGUUUGGCUUGGCUGCCAGUACAAUUUCAUGGAACAGUUUCUGAUUUCUAAUCCCUCCAGCAAUUUGCUUCUACUUCUCCAUCCUUAGACUAAUGCUUUAAAAUGUUAACUCUAAAGCCAGCUAUACUGUAAAAAAAUCUCAGAAAUGGGUGUGUUACAAAUUAUAUACAUAUUUAUUUAUUUUAUACAGCAACUAUAAGUAGUAGCUUAGAAAAGAUAUUUAAAAAACUACAAGCCAGGAAGUAAAAUAUCACAGGCAACAAGUUGAGAGAUCCACAUUAAUUAUGCUGAAUAACCACACAAACCUUAUGGAUAAUUCAUUGCAUAGUUUUACAUUCAAAUAAUUAGUACAUGAUUACCAGAAGAAAUUUCUACUUGAUUGAAUAGCUUCAGCACUCUGAAGCACUUUUACCUGCAAAGGAAGUAGAAUGCUCCAAUUGCAAGAACUCCUAGAAGAACAACUGAAGCCAAGAAAACUGCGAACAGGUCACCUUUUGUUUGGGAUUUGAUGCUGGGCAGCAAAACUUCCUCACAACGGGCUCCUGUGUAAUUUUCAAUACACCUGGGAAACCAAGGUUUAUAUGGAUUAGACUGUACCUUGUCAUCUAAUAUGAAAAGCAUAAGGCUUCUUUCGGUUUUAAGUGGGGAGAGGAGAACUUGUGAUGGCAUAAUUCAAAUUUGUAUUUGCUUCACAACAAGUUUUCUUACGGAAUUUCCACUUGCAUCAUAUUUCUGGAGCAAAGGGCAUUGGGCACAUUUGUAUUUAAUUUCAUAUUCUGAUCCAUGCUUUUAUAUGUUAAACUAUCUCUCUUUUUAAUAUAGUCACUGGAUUAGAAAUGUACAUGAUAUAUUUCACAAUUAAAAUGGCCUCCUCCAUAGGAUUUUUAAUUAAAUACACCUUUUUGGCGUUA